AUCACUGUAAUAUUUAUAUGUCAUUGAAAUGUAUUAUUAUUAUGCAUGAUUUAGGCACCUAUGUCAUCAGGAAGGUACCAGAAAAACGGACCUCGAUGUUUUCUGUGUUAGAGUUAUUUUACAGCAUGAAUGCCGUGGAUGUAAGAGCUGUGAUAAAUAAAGUUCCCUUGCAUACUUAAAAAAAAGUCUUGCCAUCAUUUAAUUUUUCACUAUUUGUGAAAACAAGACAUGGUAUCAGAAUAGAGGACAGUCAUGGAUUUUGCUGGAGUUCCCUCGCCACAAAUUGACUGGGAUUCUCUUAACCUGCCUGGAGAAUAGAAAAAGUUCCGACAGCACGUGGAGCUGAUGUUUUCUGGCCCGUUUAGAAGCAAAGACGAGAGUGAGAAAUGCAGCCAACUGCUCCUGUGGACUGGGGGAAAAGGAAGAGACAUUUUCAACACAUGAACUCACACCCAGGAAGAAGCCAAGGUGCUGAAAACUUAUUAUGACCGCUUUGAGGCAUAUGUCAUGCCUAAGACGAAUACAAUAUUCGCGAGAUACAAGUUUAAUGAGAAGACGCAGGGGAUAAACGAGACUUUUGAUCACUUUGUAACGGAGUUAAAAUUGCUGGUGAAGGACUGUGCAUAUACAAACCAAGAUGAGAUGGUCAGGGAUAGAAUAGUGUUUGGCACAAACUCAGCGAAAGUGCGAGAGAAACUUUUAAGUGCCGGGUCUGAGCUAACAUUAAAUAAAGCCGUGGACAUUGCAAGAUUGCACGAGAUAGCACAAGCACAGCUGAGAACCUUCGAUGCAGGCACUCUGAGUGGCUCACGUGAACUAACUGUGAACGCAGUACGCAGACAACAAGCAAGAGCUCCAAAGAGCGCUGCACAAAAAACGCAUUACACAAUUGAGAAGGCAGCAAAAGAAUAUGAAGCGAGUGACGCAUACAAGCAUACUCAGCAGUGCAGCUACUG